UACGUAGGGGGCAAGCGUUAUCCGGAUUUACUGGGUGUAAAGGGAGCGUAGACGGCAGUGCAAGUCUGAAGUGAAAGGCGGGGGCCCAACCCCCGGACUGCUUUGGAAACUGUGCUGCUGGAGUGCAGGAGAGGCAAGUGGAAUUCCUAGUGUAGCGGUGAAAUGCGUAGAUAUUAGGAGGAACACCAGUGGCGAAGGCGGCUUGCUGGACUGUAACUGACGUUGAGGCUCGAAAGCGUGGGGAGCAAACAGG
rnacentral:rRNA from 1 species